UCCUCUUGCCCUUUUCUUUCCCCCUUUAGUCUACUGUAUGCUUUGCAAUGAGAAACAUCAUCUAAUCUUGAAGGAAUGGGUCAAAGCCCUGAUCCUUAUGCUUUUACUAAUAAGGAAGCCAGUUCUGCAACCCUACAAAUAAAAUAUUUGCGUUGUCCUGUGGAACUUAAAACUGGUAUGGACUAAGUGCAGUCCCUGCACCUGCAGGCAACCAUAUAGUGGCUAUCUCGUCCAGCUGAAUGCUUGUUUCACACAUAACCUAGUGCCAUAAACUGAGACAUCUCAACAUCCUUUAACAAAUUAAAAAUUUUACUGCAAAAGCAUGAAGACAAGUCUCAAAAAAAAGGCCUCCUGUAAAAAAAAAUGACAUUAAGAGCUUUUCUGUGCUACUUACUGUAGGGGCAAUUCGUACUGCCAUCUGGUUUAGGCAAAAAAUUCUGAUCUCACAUCCACUGAUAACUUUAAACGUAGGUGUAGGAGCAAAAGGUAUCAGCCAGACACCUAUGAAGAUUUUCAGUACUUGAGCAGCACAACAGCACACUGCCAACCAUCAGAAGCUUAGAAGUAACACAGUAAAAAUAUGAGACAAAUAGUAUCAACCUCCAGAAGAGACUAGGAGGGAAACCUGCUCAUUGAACAGAGUCUGACACCCAGGACUUCAUAAUGCUGCAGAUUCUACUAUAAUACCUCAGUAUCUUCCUGUAGGAUAUAUGCUAAGGAGCCAUACCAUCUCUACCUUGUAUUCUUCCUACAAGGCUCACCAGCAGAGCAGAAAAGCAGACCGUUUGUUGGCAGCAGGGAAAUAUGAAGAAGCAAUUUCUUGUCACAAAAAAGCUGCUGCAUACCUUACAGAUGCCAUGAAGCUGACCCAGUCAGAGCAGGCUCAGCUAUCACUGGAAUUACAAAGGGAUAGUCACAUGAAACAGUUACUGCUCAUCCAGGAGAGGUGGAAAAGGGCAAAGAGGGAGGAAAAGCUGAAAGCCCAGCAGAAUGCUGACAAGGAAAUAGCUGCACAUCUUCAGACUUCUUAUAAGCCAUCUGCUGAAGACUCUGAUGAUCAAAACGUAUUGGUUCCUGUUACUCAGAAAUACAGCCCUUCCACAGAGAAACAUCCGCAGGAUAUUCAGGGUGUCUUUGACAGGGACCCGGAUACACUAUUAUUUCUGUUUCAGAGAAAAAAGGAGCCGGUAGAAGCAUGUAUUGGGAGCAAAGCUCCAAAAGAUGACAAAACAAUAAUAGAAGAGCAGGCAACCAAAAUUGCAGAUUUGAAACAGCAUAUAGAAAUUCUUAUAGCUGAAAAUGAGAGAUUAAGGAGAGAAAAUAAGCAGUUAAAAGCAGAAAGAGCUAGACUCCAAAAAUCCCCAGUAGACAAGGAGUUGGAUGUAGAUGCUGACUUUGUCGAGAAGUCAGAGUUGUGGGGUCUGCAGCAACACUCGGAAACUACUUCUUCAGCUGCAACUUGGCAGAAGUUUGCAACAACUGCUGGGAAGGCAAAGGACAUUCCAAUACCCAGCCUUCCCCCCCUGGACAUCCCGUCCCCUGAACUCCCUCUGCUGGAACUCUCCGAAGAUAUUCUGAAAGGACUGAUGAAUAGUUAAAAACCAAGAAGAGUGCUCAGUGUAGUUACCCAAACUUCAGAAAAGGGAAAACCGCCGGGACAAUGGCGAUCUGAGGGCAGAAACAUCUAACACAAUCCUACUGUUGGAGAAAAGGCAUUAAAGCAACUUUGUUACUGUGAAAUACACACCAUAUCUGAUCUACUUCAUAAAAGUUAAAGAGCGCCAAAGCAUCAGAGGAAGCAGCAUGAAGCGUUUGCCUGGGGACAGGCUACCCGGAGCCAAGCGAACCGCGCCACCAGAGCUGUGCACACCGUUCAGGGUAUUGGUUUCUGACACGCUCAGCUGGUGCCCUGCCCCGGAGCGUUAGCCAGCCCUCCCCCUGCACUGGGGUGGUACCUGAAUCCAGGCUUUCCGAGGGGGAGGGUGUUGCAAUGUGUUGUGGAGGCAUUAGUUAACUUUAGGGGUUACUGAUUAAUGAAAAGCGUUAAGUGUUGCAAGCUAUCCCAAUUUAAGUUAUUCUUGUGCUGUUAUAAGGUAAACUUGCUUUCUAAGGGUACAUUUUUCUUCCAGAAUAGACUUGGAAGUGUAGGAAGAACAUUUUACUGCGGUGCAAAUUCGCCCCUUACCUCUGUAUACCUGGUGUCUCCUGUGCUUGCUGGAAGGAGGGUAGGGACUGGAGGCUAGAAAAAGCCUAUGGAAACAAAGGUAAGACGAGUUUGUUAGAGGAGGUCCCUUGUGCUGAAUUGUAGCCAGAAACUAAUCUUGCUGGGGAAAUAAAAGUUAUUUUUCAGUUGGAGCAGUUCAGCACAUGGCCCCACAGAACAGCUGUGAUGAGGUAACCUGUUCCAGGUCAGCCCCAGUACACUGCUCCCAAAAAAGGGCAAGUUACAUCCUCCACCAUCACCUGCCUGGCUGGCUGUUACAGGUAACGAGGCAGUGGAGCGUAAUGUUUCUAUUCAUGUGAGUAAAGCAAAAAAAAAAAGGUAUGUGCUCACAGUAGGAAAUGAAAUUAUUUGUGCGCCUAUCUCAUGUCACUGCCAGGGAUGAUAGCCCAGGGCUGUUAGCUAGAGACACAUUUCAGCUGUCUCUGCGAACAGCAGCUGUAGGAGAAGGAAGCAAUUUUUAGCCUGGCUACCUCUGCUGAAGAGUCAGGAUUCUUCAGAGGGGUAGUAGGGGAAUUACAAGCUCUAUCUUCUGUUUUUAAGACUAAACUGUCCCUUCAUAUAUAGCUGCAUAAACAAAACACCAGAUCCAAAGGAGGCCGCUUCUCUGUAGGGAGAUAGCCAAGUAGGGGCAAUACUCCACGCUGCUACUUUUGAAAGUGGUGGUAAAAUUUUUCUCUCUCCUGCAACGCAAGUGUUUUUUCUUGCAGUCUGCUUACUCAACACAUGAUGGCUGCUGAAAUCAAACUCCAGGCAGCAUGGCUCAGCAUGAGAGUUUUCCACUCCCAUGAGUGAUGCAGAGGAGAAUGGGUGCAACAUUCCCUUUAAUAGGAUAGGAGUGCUGAGCUGCAGCCCAAGCACUGCUAGUAUUACACAAGCCCCAUGAAGGUGAUGUGGAAAGCUGAGUAUUUUUCUGUGUAAUACAGAGCCUGUCCUAGAGCUGGAGCAGGUGAUGCCAGUAAAGAGUCAGACCACGUCCUGGUGAACAAUGCAGGUGCUCCUGCUGGAAGGAGAGCCCUGGCACCACCAGCCUCUUCUUUCCCUCCCUUCCACACAGCAGCACAGCCCACCAGCCAUGAAGCCUACAGCAAGACAGGCAUGUGGGAGCAGAUAGGGUCACCCCUUUCGGCAGCAAUGUGGGACACCCUACAGCUGAGAAUCCAUUGAAUAAUGACUUUUCUGUAUAGAAGCUAAGUGUAUGAAAUAAGAUGAAAUAUUUUAAUUUCUCCAAGAAAGGAAUUCUUCAGUCUGAAUUCAGAGCUAAGUGAUUACACAGUCCAUCUAAAGAACUAAAGGUUGUAUAGAGAAUACUCACCACUAGAGGACAAGUUUUAUAUAGUGGUGAAUCUAAGGAAAGUCUUCUCCAGUGUCUGUCAGCAAUUAGUUUAUCCCCCAACAAUUCAAAACAGUUUUAAAUUAUUAUUGCCUUUCAGCUCGUUUGAGUUCUGGCAUCAUGAAAUGAUAAAAAGAAACAGUUUUCCCUCCCUAUGCCUCCAGGUUAGUUGGCAUUAUUGUUUCUGCACCUCUUCCAUGCUCCCUUCCUCCCACUGACAGCAAUCUUCUCCCUUCUCCCUGAUGGAGGUACCAGCCCCGCGGGAGGCAGAGCACCCACCCGACUGCCGCUUUCCCCUGGGUUGCCCGGACCACCGCCUGGUGGAACCCCCUGCCCUGUUCGGCUCCUGCUCCAGCACCACCCCCUCCCUCUGCUGACAGUGUCGUGUUCCUGCCAUCAUCACAGCAACCAGCUUAUCCCCCACAGCCUUUCCAGGAUAACAAAAAGGCGCAGUAUCUGAAUAUUAUGCAGAAAGGAACCAAUUUUGCAGGAACAACAAAGUGGUGAGUUCUUGGUGGUCACACAGCGUAACCAAAGCCUGGCACACAGCACGUGGAAAGAUUCCCAUGGGCGGGGAGUCUGAUCUGCACUGUUUUAUACUGGACAGAACUAAAAACUUCUGUGGUCCAUUAUUUCAAAGUGUCUCACCAAGAACCAAUUUUAAACAUGUGUCCAGACACUGACUUCUAUUCAUAGACUUUGCUUUACCACAGAGACCGCUCUUGUCUUGGAACACAGAAACAUUAUCCCUGUUGAAUAUAGCCAACAUAUGCUUUGCAAAAAGAAAUUGCAAUUACCCAGUCUCUGGCUGUAUCUCUGCAGAAGGAUAAACCAAGGAAAGGCAACUGGGAAGCAACGUGGAGUCUCCUGAGAAUAAAAUCUGCAGACUGCACCACCAGUUGCUACUUACAGUGACAGCUAAAACCAAAAUAUAGAAGUGUUGGGUUUUACAUUUUGGUUUUAUAUAAAGGGAAAAGAGGAUCUUGUGACCUCUUCCUCUGAGAGUGUUUCCAUUUUCAGGAGCUCUGGCCUUGAACUCCUUCCCACUCUCCUGCCAGCAGCAGCUCUUCAGCCAUCGGCAGUUCCUGUUGAACUUCUUUCAGUGGUGGGGACUACACCUCAUCCAGGCUCCCUUUCCCACGGAAGGUUGGCCCAGGUGAUCUUUUGAGGUCCCUUCCAACCUGGGCUGUUGUAUGGCACUGCGAAAGCAGGCUUGCUGGCAAAAGAGAAGGAGAAAGACAAGCACAGCCCCAACAGCUGAUAAAAUCCCUUACUGAAUUGGACUAAAAAUACAGCGGGAAACAAAAUCAAUCGGUCAAAGUCUUCACAAGUAAUCAGAGUGGUAGUGUGGCUGCCACAAGUCGGGUAUAGGCUGGACAGUAUUUGCCAGACCUCUCUGCCUGAGUAUGCAGCCCGCGGAGUUCAACUGUAUGAAAAGAUGUUCAUUGCUCCCUAAAGACUCAGUGCUACGUCCAGCUUUUCCUCCACCUCUUCUCUCCCAUGUCCAUUUUACCAGGAGUAACCUAAACUUACCCAGGCUUUUUGUCUUGUAAUCACUUGAAGUGUUCCCUCAGGCCCAUUUGCUACAGGAGUUAAGGUAUUAUCGACAUCAAACAAUAUGAAAUCCUUAGAGCUGUGAAAAUACAGGAUUUCCUGCCUCUCAGAACUGCUAAACCCUAUUCUUUAAUUCCACUAAGGAAGCACAGGGCUACAAUAAAACCACAUGCCCAGGGACUGGAAAAAGAAACAGGCAUCUGUGUCAAGAAUAUAUUGUAUUAGUGUGGUUGGGAGGGACCAGAAAUGUUUGCUUUGAAACAUAACAGUAAAAAAUCCCUCAGUCUACCACUUAGCUUUAGAAAGACCCAUGUUCAAAAUGCAACUGUUUGCACGCAACACAUCAGGUAAAAUUUGUCUUCGAUUGGCUGUGAGGCAAGAUUUUCCUACCAGCUAUAUAUAGAUCGCAACUUCCUUUUCAAAACCUGCGAGACCAAAUGAAAGCAGUGCAGAGGUUGGAUUGUGUGUGCUGCCACCGCUACAGAUCAUUUGCUCCUCGCUCAGAGUUUCCUAGGUCGCCCUGCUGAGAUGGAAAGAAAGGGACGUGGCGGUGGACGCUGCAUCCAAGAAGCCCCCAUGCCACCGAGUGCUCCUCUGCCCUCCUGGGGCACGCGUAUCAUGGGAACGCAAAGGCAGAGAAGGAAAAGCGGCCCUCCUGCUAACAAAGCGCGAGUCAAAAGGUGGAAGGCAGGAGCACAGCAGAGAGCUGACAUUGUCUGAGGCAGAGCCGGGGGUUAGGAGGGGAAAGCAGCGCGAAGCCGUACUCCGGGAGACUCAACAGGGAGAGGCAGCUCGUCCAGCACGGAUGUGGGGGAGAGCACAAACAUCCUGCUCAGGAAAGCAGCCCAACAGGGCGAUGGUGGCUGUGGAAGGAGGAAGGAAGGGAAAUUCCCAGUUAGGGGUGCAGGGCAGGGAAGGCCGUCAGCUGUGAGAGCAGGAGAGGGCUUGACAGGAUGUCACGGGAGAGGGUACGAACAAAAUUACCACCUACCGAAGAGGUCAGGGAGCAUGAGAACGUAGUGCUGAUCCGAUGGGGGUUCGGUUUACACACACAGAGCUGAGCAAUUUCCAUGAAGCUGGAAGAGUACAAUAAAUAGCUUUUAAUAUCCCCCUACGCCUGACCUGCCUAAUGGGGACCAGGGUUUCACUGCCGGCAUGUCCAGCAGUCCCACAACUCCUGUGUCAGCUAAACCAUAUAUGCAGUCAUGCAUCCGUGCUGAAAUACUUCAGGUCAUAGCAGCCCCGCUUUAUUCCUUGCUAAUUACUUACUCUUCCUUAGUUACCCCUGCAGUUACAACAGGAAGAAAAUUGCCAUGGCCACUUCCUGUAGGGCAGCGCAGUGGAUGGAGGUGGUGACAAGGA